CCAACGUGUACCGCAUGUGCGGGUGCAGAAGCUUGAACACCGGAUGCAUCGUGCUCAGCUGCCUGUGCGCUGCCAAUAUGAACGGCUCCAUCGUCGCGUGCGUCUUCAACCUACGCCAUGAACAGGAACCCCUCAGCUAAAGCGUCGUUUGAGCAGACAUGGGCCUUGCCGAGCAUCCACAGCCAAUUGGUAGUAGCAUCACGGGGCGGCAUCAACACCAUGCUGGGACGGGAUGCGCCUGGUUGCCGGGGAGGGAGUCCAAGCUCGAUUGCGAUCGGUUUCAGUGUCCCAAUGGGGGUCAAAAAGAAGAGGGUCCUCGUAGCGUAUGCUUUCCGGCCAUCCAUCAUGUUGAUUCUGUCCACGAAUGGCAGGUAUAUAUCGUGGAAGUCCAACAUGAACAGCUUCCCUUCCUCCACAGCCUUUUUAUUGUAUUAAUAACAUGACAAGGGUCAGCUGUAAGCGAAAUGCUGUGAAAGAUGAACAUGAUUCAGGCGGGCCAUAAAUUGCAGGGUCAAGAUUGCUUAAUGGAGGGAACGACUGUGCCAUAAUAGCCUUGUCAUUGUUUGCAACUCAGUUCAAUAUACAAGUGAUGUGGGGUUACCUGAAGCCUCUCUAUGUUGACAGGGUUGAUCCCUGCAACCGCUUGCCGAGCAAAUUCAUCAUCCCGGAGCCAUGCAAACUUAUCCUCUACAGUGCAAACCACAUGAGCAUGUCAGCAUGAGAACUGGUUCUUGUUACAUACCAAAAUCACUCAUUAGGAUAUUAAUGUUAGACUGCGAGAAAGUCAUGACAAGGAGCAUGUUGCUUCACUUACUUGUGAGGAUGCUUGGGGUGUCAUAUCGAAGCAGACCCUCGCUCGAUUCUUGUAUCUUUUUAACGAAUGGGAGCUUCUUGAGGAGAUGUUCCUGGAGGCCAAGCUUCAGGAUGAGGCCCUCCUUGUAGAGGUUGUCGAUGUGGUGGAACCCUUUGAAGUCAUGGUUAUCAGCAGAGAUGGAUGCAAUGAGUGACGGGAUGAAGCUGUGCAGCACAGCCUUGAGCCUUCCGGCUGCGAAGGCUCCCUGUUUUAGCUCCUCGAAUGCCUCGUCGCGUGGCACGUAGAUCGGAUUUGGCUUCUCAACUCGACUCUCAGCUAGCAUGUCUGUGCCAUGAAAUGAUGCACGGUCAUUAUAGAUCCAUUGAAUUAAAUGCCAAGGAUAAUGAUAUGUAACCAUCGCAUCAAAUCAAAUGGCUGUCAAUAGCAAGCUAGAAAAAUUUGGUACCGACCUUAUUGCUGAAGAAAAUUCUCUUCUUGGGGUGGUCCUUGGUGGAUUGAACCCAAGAGUUGCAGGAGAAAUGAACUGGUCCACACGAAGAGGUAGAGCCUUCUCCUUCGAUGACUACACUCUCCAAGAAGAACUCUUUCUGGUGGCGGUUGAUCACUGUGAUUGCUCCUGGCUCCCCGAAGCUGGAGUCUACCGUGAAGUCUGCCGUGUACACCACACGCUCUCCCUUGACGUUCUUCUUCUCGAACCAGUCCUUGAUCACUGUCGCUCCGCUCGUCUUUUGCUUUUUGGUUCCUAUGUUACAGAAGCAAGCCCAAGAACAGUUAGCGAAUUGCAGAGGGGAGAUAUGAAACAAGGUUUAUCAAUCAUGGGGAAGCAGAAAGGAAAAAGGUUGUUUGCUCUUGCGAGAACAAAGAACAAAGUUCAAGAUGCCUACUUUUGGGGAAUUUGAUCUCUCGAUCAUUGGGGAUCUGCAGAGACUCUCUAGAGGAGAUCAAGCAGCUCGAGGUUUAUAUGUAGGAACAAGCAUCUUAAGAUUUCACAAGGCUUACUCGGAUGGAUCCCGGUGCUGAUGAGUUCCAACACCACAUUCCGGCCAAACUUAUCCGUAAGAGCAUCAAGCUGGUUGACGAUCGCUUCCUUGAUAUCCUCUUUGUGCUUCCUUCUCACGGUCAGCGCAGCCCUGAGCAUGACUUUGUCCACCUUAGCCUGCUUCCCAACCACCAUCUUGAUCACAUCCUCAUUGAUUGUUGCUUUCACCGGUGCUGCCACGGUCUUCGCCGACCUCAGCCUUCUCCUCCUGUCUUGGCCAUCGGGGCAGAUAGCAGGGAAGGCAAGUUUGUUCUGAUUGCCUCUAAGCAAGAGGGAUCCACUGCCGAGGAGGAAAGAAGGCUGGUGUAAACCCAUGAUCUGACUGCAAACAGCCAUUCUUUCUUUGCAAAGAAAAGCAAAGAAAAUAUGGUUGCUUUCUUGCUGCCCUGUUCUUGGGAGAGACAGAGGAGGUGGUUCAGAGUUGGAAGAGGUAAUAUGUUGUUGUGUGUAUGUAACAUGUGGGAUGGCAUGUAUAUAAAGCUAACCCCACCCCGUUGAUUUCUAGUCUCUUACCAUGUGCACGUUUUUCAGUUUGAUUGCAAUUCGGAUGACUUUAGCACCAAAA